GACGAACGCUGGCGGCGUGCCUAAUACAUGCAAGUAGAACGCUGAAGGAGGAGCUUGCUUCUCUGGAUGAGUUGCGAACGGGUGAGUAACGCGUAGGUAACCUGCCUGGUAGUGGGGGAUAACUAUUGGAAACGAUAGCUACUACCGCAUAAUAGCAGUUGUUGCAUGAUAACUGUUUGAAAGGUGCAAUUGCACCGCUACCAGAUGGACCUGCGUUGUAUUAGCUAGUUGGUGGGGUAACGGCUCACCAAGGCGACGAUACAUAGCCGACCUGGGAGGGUGGUCGGCCACACUGGGACUGAGACACGGCCCAGACUCCUACGGGAGGGAGCAGGAGGGAAUCUUCGGCAAUGGACGGAAGUCUGACCGAGCAACGCCGCGGGAGGGAAGAAGGGUUUCGGAUCGUAAAGCUCUGUUGUAAGAGAAGAACGAGUGUGAGAGUGGAAAGUUCACACUGUGACGGUAUCUUAACAGAAAGGGACGGCUAACUACGUG
rnacentral:rRNA from 1 species